rnacentral:misc_RNA from 1 species
UUAAGUUCAGCGGGUAGUCCUACCUGAUUUGAGGUCAAAUUGUCAAAAAGUUGUCUCAUGGGGAGACGGUUAGAAGCUGAAACCUCAUUUUAAGCUGCUUGACCACAAUGGCGUAGAUAAUUAUCACACCAAAGCCAGGCAACAAAGGUCCCGCUAAUGCAUUUCAGGAGAGCCGACUUCUGAGAAGCCCGCAUACUCCC